ACAGGACAUCCUAAAGCAAGUUCCCAGUCUCGGGGUCCUCAGAUUGAGCAGCGAGAAUGCGCCCACCAGGGCUAACAUAAUCACGUCUCGGAGGAGAGGCCUCGACUGAGUUCUCGGGAAAUGGUCACCAGAGUCGACGACUUCUAAAGGAAUAUCUGUCAUUAUGGAACACCCAUAGGACAAAAUAUAUCCAACAGAAACCUCGUAUGGAAUGUGGGCCUCAUGAACGACUUAACGUAGCAACAUGCCACGCAAGCCUCAUGACUAUCCACUCUAAAACCUGUGUGUACGCUCAAGCCUGGGUAGUGGGCUUAUCUCUCAUAGAACAUCCCACCCCAACAAACAACCAAAUGAACGACUUAACGUAGCAACAUGCCACGCAAGCCUCAUGACUAUCCACUCUAAAACCUGUGUGUACGCUCAAGCCUGGGUAGUGGGCUUAUCUCUCAUAGAACAUCCCACCCCAACAAACAACCAAACCACAGAACCCACAGAUACAACAGACAUAUGUACAUGAAUGCAAUAAGGUAAAGCAGGUAAAUAAAUAACUGUACAAAAGAAUAAACACCCAACAAACAAGAAACCUACAAAAGCUAGGAGGGACUCGUUUAGGGAAACCGGUGUCCCCAGCAGAGUCGCCAGCUGUCGCAACCUAAAAAAAAUAGUAUGCAAAAAAACAACCGGCGAAAAAGAAAUGACAGAAGAGUCGCCAUCGUGCGUUAUUUAUCCCAGAGGAGGGAAAGGAAACGCUCGAAGUAAACUUGGAGAAAGGAAAGGAAAAGACAAGGUUUCGCAACCAAAUCUUGGGUUCGGGAGUCGAUUAUGUGAAGGAAAGGUAUUAGCACCCCUACGCAUCUGUAGUACUCUACGGGAUCCACUCUUGUUGUUCUUGUCUAAAGGGUGUGUGUUUAUCUAAUGUACUAUUUACUAAAAGAAAGGGUCAAAAGAAAAUGACUCGCACGGAUGUCGCAUCCACUGCAUACGAGGGAUCCACUCUUGUUGUUCUUGUCUAAAGGGUGUGUGUUUAUCUAAUGUACUAUUUACUAAAAGAAAGGGUCAAAAGAAAAUGACUCGCACGGAUGUCGCAUCCACUGCAUACGUAUCUCAUCUGAAUAUGAGAAUCAGAGUCUUCGUAGCACGGCUACCUAUGGGUGAAAGUGAUGUGUGCUCACUAAGACAUCGCAUCUUAUGCCUACGUAUCUCAUCGAGAAUGAGAAUUAGUAAAACGUAGUUCAGCUAACUACGGGAACAAAGGGCCUCGAUUGCAACUAGGGCAAGAGAAAGGGAAGGUCUCGAUCGCAACGAGGGCGAGAGAAAAGAAUCGCAACGAGGGCAAAAACAAGCAAGGAUUAGUUGUUAGUUGUCAGUCAAAACUCGGCAAGACAUCGCAUCUCGUGCCUACGUAUCUCAUCUGAACAUGAGAAUCAGAGUUGCCGUAGUUCGGCUAACUAGGGGUUGCCAUCUGAACAUGGACUUACAAAGGAGGACACCAGUUGUGUCAAAGGAGAGUGGGCAAUGUAUUCACAUCCUAGCAGCAGGUGUCGCAGCUCGCUGAAUCGAGUCUUAGGCAGUUACCUCUUUGCAAUAGGACGGACUGACAUGCCACAGGAUCGGAGACGCUCGGAAAGGGCUAAAAGUGGGGGAAGCUCUACCUGAGUGUUGUCAUGCAAUGUGAACCUGAGUGUUAGGAUUUACAAAUGGGAACAUCUACCUAAUGUUAGCAUACAAAGAAAGAGGGAAUUCUACCUAUGUUAUCAUCCAAAAGAGUAAGGGAAUUCUACCUAUGUUAUCGUACAAAAGAAUAAGGGAACACUACCUAUGUUAUCAUACAAGGGGUUCUACCUAAUGGGUGCUACCUAAACGGAACAAGAAUCGACGGAUGGAGCGAGGAAAAGAACCAAGGAUAAGGGUAGAUGGCGAUGCAUGAAGCAAUCGACUUACAGGUGGUAGAUGGCGAUGCCUGAAGCAAUCGACUUACAAGAGAAAUGGCGAUGCAUGAAGCAAUCGACUUACAAAAGAAAGGAUGAAUACGUGCUGGUUCUGUUAAGUUUUGAAAAUGAUUACUCGACGUUGGAUCGAGGUUUUAAUCUUGUUUUGAAAUGGUUAUCGGAUGUUCAUUUUACUUCUUGUAUUAACAGAUGAAUAAAGAAUGAAAGAAUAAACAUUAUACAUUUCAUGGGAGAGGGAUACAUUUGUUAUGAAUGGGGGUUGUUCAUGUCAAACAAACAAUAAAAAUAUGUGCCUCAUACACCAUACAAGUAGGCCACAGUUAUCAAACAAUAGGAUAUAUAAACAAGUAUAUGAUCAAAUCAAAUAAUCAAAGAAUGAAAUGAAUGAAGCAUUAAACAAUGUAUAGGAUGUAUAAACAUGUUAAGCAAUCAAACUAUAGAAGCAUGGAUGAAAGAAACAAGUAUAAAAAAUAUCAGAUGAAUCAGACAAAUGCAACUAUGCACAUAAAGGAUCAAUGAAUAAUUUAAUCGGGAAAUGAUGCAAGGAUCAAAUAAAAUCAAGAUGAAUGGCCUCUAAUACAUGGCAUAUGAGAUGAACAAGGAAGGAUCAAAAGAUCUCUUCAAUUGCCCUAAGCAAUCCCUAUGUCAAACAUCAAUCAUACAAAAGUCAACCGAAAAGUCAAGUCAACUUAAAAAUUAUCAAAUAAAUAGUAAAUUAAUCACAAAAAUUAUGCCCUAAGCAAUCCCUAUGUCAAACAUCAAUCAUACAAAAGUCAACCGAAAAGUCAAGUCAACUUAAAAAUUAUCAAAUAAAUAGUAAAUUAAUCACAAAAAUUAUGAAAAAUUAAACUAAGUUAGGUGGGGUCAGGACAUCAUCAUCCCCCAAAAAUAUUUUAAAAAUAAUAAAAAUUAGUGUACAAAUUAAUUAAAAAUGAUGGCUCUAGCAUAGAGAAAAGCGAACAACAAGGUAGGCUCAUGCAAGGAUACGGUAAAAAUUCAAUGUUACAAAAUCAAGCUCAAACACAAUGCCUCUUGGUGAGGGUUUCAUAGACAAACAUGACACACUAUUUACAUGGAAAAACAACAUGAUACAAGCAUGGUCAUAGCAUGAAAACAAUAGUAAGCAUAAACAUGGUAAGCAUGAAAAAUAAUAAUGAGCAAGCAAAAUAUUCAUGGCCAUGGAGGGUUGGGAUAAGGAGGUUACCUAGUGGAAAACAGUCCACUGCUUCUUGGUAGUGGAGAAGAUAGAAAAGGAAGAUGCUCUUGGUGCUUGUGCUUGAGAAAUGGAAAGUGAGGAAUGGAUCUUGAACUUGCCAAGUUGCUUUGCUCCUAGAAAAUAGCAGCCUCCAAUCUUAACUCGAAAAUGGCAUUAGCUUCUCUUCAGAUUAGGGUUUAUGCUCUUUAAAUAUAGUGGGUUAAAGUGCUCUUAAUGGGCUUAAGUGUGUGGUUUUGGUUCAUGAGCAAAAUGCCACAAAAGGUGAGGUGUGAAAUGAAACUCUAAAUAUGGAAAAGCUUAAGUGAGUGAACAUUAAAGUGCAUGACCAAAUGAGGUAAAAAGUGUGUUGGUUGGUUUUGUGGUCUGACUUGGUUUUUCUUGUGCAGCAUAAAAACAAACCAACUAGGUGACUUUAAGGCACAAAUGAGGUAAAAAGUGUGUUGGUUGGUUUUGUGGUCUGACUUGGUUUUUCUUGUGCAGCAUAAAAACAAACCAACUAGGUGACUUUAAGGCUUUGUAACUUGAUGAAUAUGUAACCAAAUGGCAAAGCAAUGCAAAUAGUAGAAAGAGGGCAUGAAGCUUAAUAUCUUUCAUGUUGAACACAAGUUGAAAUGAUGAGUGGAAAGAGGCGAAAAAUGGCCAUAAAGUUCAGGUUCCAUAGCUGCAAAAUGGUUGGGCCAGUUUGACCUAAAUGCUGUAAAAAAAAUCAGCCUAUGAUACCAACUUUAGAUGAGUGUAUCUUCCAAACCAAUGAUCCAAAUGGGGUGGUUCCAAGAAGGUGUGAAAGAGGACAUAUCAAGGUACAACUGUCAUGAAGAAAGUGUUUUCAAACGAUGCCUUUAAGUGCAAGAAAUCUGGCCCAUAAGUCUUGACAAAUUUUGCAAAUUUUGGACUUAGAAAAUUUUCUAAGUGUCCUAAAAUAAUGUCUCACUUUGACCAAGCAUAACUUUCUCAAUUUUAAUCCAAAUGAAACAAACUUUAUAUCUCUAGAAAUCUUGGAACAAGAGGAACAACUUUCAUGUUGUAGAAAUUUUCAAAUGGGGCUUGCAUAUUGAUGGAAUAUAGGCUUAAAGUGGAUGCAAAAACCAUAAAAACUUGCUUAAAUGGAAAGUCAACUAUUCCCAAAUUUAGUAAUUUUCCAACUCCUGAUUAAAUGAUGAUCCAUGAUCCAACCUUGAUCAAAUUUCACAUGUAGGCUCCCUUAGGCAUGAAUUUUGAGAUUCCACUUUCAAAAAUGUCAAGAGUUGACUUUUCUGGCCCCACAGUUGACUUUUCCCAAUCUGUCUGAUUUCCGAUUCCAAUGAUCAAUGAAGCACCUCUGGCUCAAAUAAAGAGCUGAUUUUUGCAUGUAGAUCCUUGUGGAAUGUGGAGGGCCAUGGAAAUGAGUUUCACUCAAGGAAUCAGAAAUAAACCAAUUUUAUACCAACCCUAGUUUUAGGGCAAAAAUGACUAGGAACUGAUUACACUGAUUGCCACUUGAUCUUUGUGAGAUGAUUAUGGAUCUUUCUAGGCCAAGUGCCUCUAUAAUCAUGACAUGAAUGAGCCCCCUUUUCUUCCCACCAAACAUUUCCUGUUGCAGAUAGCCACGAAACCCUGAUUUCUGAUUAAAUCAGUGCACACUCUAAGAGCUCUGAAUCUUCCACAUGAAGAAUUGAGGAACAUAAUCAGAGUAUGGAACCCCUUGAGACCUUUGAGACUUGUAUACAUAGAAAAUGAAGUCCAAUUCUCAGUCUUGCUUUGUGUGGGCUCCUUCUGGUAAGGAGUGAUCAAUCAAACCCUGAUUUCCAUGUCACUAAUGCAGUAUGUAAUGAGUAUGACCUAGUAUGAUGCUAAUGCAAUAUGAAACACAAUCCCAUGCUUCCAAGAAAAAGUGAAGGGUAAAUUUUGGGGUAUUACAGGUGUAUGACGCAAAUGAUAUGAAUGGUUGAUUCACCUAAAUGAACAAUUAACAAGAGACUUGUGUAUGCAGAUGAAUGUAGCAAUAAGUCAGAUAAAAUGAAAUGGGGUAGGCAAAGUUAGGGUAUGACAAGAGUGAUCAUCAAGGUUGGGAAUAGGUGCAAUAUUGGUCAAGAAGGCAGGCUAAUGGCUUAUUUCAACAAGGCUUUAGGUGCAAGUUAUUUAGCCAAGUCCACAUAUGAGAAUGAGUUAAUGAUGGUGGCUCUAGCAAUACAACAUUGUUGCCCUUAUCUCUCGGGGAGGAAAUUUACGGUGUGUACUGCUCAUAAAAGUCUCAAAUAACUACUUACUCAACAUGUUAUGUCACCGGAUCAACAAAAUUAGGAAGUCAAAUUAUUGGGAUAUUGCUAUGAUAUUAUUUACAAAUGAGAAAAUAUGGGGGCAGAUGCAUUGCCAAAAAUACCUUGUUGCUGCUCCAAGUGGUCUGCUACAGUCUCUGAACUUACCAGAGCAAUUUUGGGAGGAAAUUUCUAUGGAUUUCAUCAUUAGGUUGCCGAAAUCCAAAGGGUAUGCGUCCAUCUUUGUAGUGGUGGACAGGUUAACAAAGUGAAAUCACUUCAUACCUCUCAAACACCCUUAUUCCACCAUAUUAUUAGUUGGGGUUUUCAUUAAGGAAGUGAGUUGUUUACACGGGAUACCAAUAUUAAUUGUUAGUGAUCACGACCCAAUUUUUCUGAGUUCUUUCUGGAAGGAAUUGUUUAAGUUACAAGGUACACAAUUGAAGAUGAGCACGACAUACCAUCCUCAAAGGGAUGGAAAAACCAAGGUGGUGAACCGGUGCUUGGAGACUUUCUUGCAAUGUUUUAUUGUUGAUUAGCCCAAACAGUGGGUGCAAUGGCUGCAUGGGCAGAAUACUGAUAUAAUAUAAAUUUCCAUGUGUCCACUAGUACUACUUCAUUUGAAGGCGUGUAUGGGAGACCCCCUCUGGUGUUGAAUUGAUUUCUUCCAGUUGGGGGUUGUUUUAAGGGAGUUGAGAGAUCGAGAUGAGGCUUUAAAACAAUUUAAAUUGCAUUUGCAAGUUAAUCGUCGUAUGAUGGAUCACGUUUUUGAUGUUAGUGAUUGGUUUUUUCUUAAGCUAAGACCACAUGGUUAACUCAUAAUCGAGGUCAUGAUUAGCCCUAAACUCUCUCCUUAUUAAUAUGGCCCUUUUAAGGUGGUGGAACGCAUCAGAGAGCUAGCCUACAAGCUUCAACUUCCAAGGUCUUCAUGCAUUGACCCAGUUUUUCAUGUGUCGUUGCUCAACAAAGCUAUAGGAAACUUUGAUGUGCAGAAGGAGUUACCCAUUGAGUUGGAGGUAGACACCAGUAAGACCUUAGAACUGGUUACUAUGUUAUCCAUGAGGACAAUGAGCAAAGGGGGUAAGAUAGUCGAACGGGUACUCAUUCAGUGGAAAGUAUAAGGGGUGGAGGACGCCACAUGGGAGGAUGAGCUCAAUAUUCGAGGAUAAUUUCCCAAGUUGUAACUUAAGGAUAAACAUUUGUCUGAAUAAGGAGGUAUUGAUAGAGAAGUGGGUCUAAAUGAGGGGACUAUUAAUCAACCCAAGGUGUGGAGAGCAUAUGAAAGGAGAUGUAAGUUAAGUAAAACGAAUGAUGAAUUGAAAGUGGUUGCAACUAACUGAUUACGAGAAGGAGUAUGUAACUAUGUAAGGGGAGAGAUCAUAGAGAGAGUGGAUUUAGAUAUUUUUUAUUGAGUUUGUUAGGAAGAGUAAUGCUCUCUUUGUAAGAGCUUAUCUCUUGGCAAUUUAGGGAUUGUAAUUCCUUACUGAAGCAUUUUAUAUUCCAUUAAUAAAAUUCCUCUUCAACAAUAUGUGUUACUUUCUAGUUUAUUCUCUGCUUUCUAUCAUAAAUAAAUAAACGACAAGAAGAGACGAAUAAUUUUUUUUUUGUGAAAGUAUCAUUCUUAUUCAAAAUGAAAGUUCAAAAAAACUCCUGAUAGCGACAAUCUAAACACACUGAAGAACUACAAUAACAUGAAUUCUAGAGAAAAAACUACAUGAAAAACUCUAUCUAUUCUAAUAUGAACAAAAAAUUAUGAUGUGCUAAUGAAGUCUCUUGUGAAAUUUCUUUGGUACGAUGGUGAGAGUCUCUGGUAAAUGGAGAAGGGGUGUACCUAUAAAGUUAGCAUUGCAACACUAAGUUAGUGUGGUCUUAGAGGUAUAACUAGCAAGAAUAAAGUGAAUUGUACCUUGGUGUGACCUAGAAUCACACUUAUAUAUGGACGGCUAGAAUCGCCCUUGACGAGUGCGGCGUGGAAAAUGAGAGAUCGGUAAACUUGAAUGAUUGAGAUGAGCGAGGUGUGCUACUCUAGUGUGCGACCCCUUAGUGAGGGUCUACUUGUUCGCCGGUCUUUAGUAGGAGAAUCUCUGGAUUGGGCCUUCGAAUUAGGUUGGUAUCAUUGGGUUGUUUGGUCGGUCUAGAACAGUUGCUCCCAAGUCUUUACUACCAUAUAUGGGGCUAAAAUUGUUAUAUAUUUUUCAAGAUCAACCUCAAGAAGGUCCCGCUUUGAGGUUUCAAAGGCUUAGUUUGGUCUUUUGGGUUGGGGAAUAGAGCAAUGGUGAGGUGAGUUUAACAAAGUCGUUCGUGUUAUAUUACUUCGCACUUCUCAAUUAUUUAAUCUUACAUUUUCUAAAUAUUCAUACCCCCCAUUUUAAAAACUAAUUUUUUGGUCCUUAAAAUUUAUUUCCCUUGAAGUUUUCAUGAUCCCCUCCAGUUUUGUCUACACGAGAAUGAUGAUUAGGAUUAUAAAACAUUUCUAAUGACAUGACAUUGAUGACUAAAUUUAUUAUUAAUUAUUAUUUUUUAAUAUUUUUACUAAAUAAAUUAUUAAUUUUUUUUUUACAAUUAAUUAGUUAAAAUUCUUACAACAAAUAUUAUGGACCCGUGACCCAUUAAGCUUCAGCAUGGCCCAAACACCCAUGAUGGAAAAUAAGUUACGCAUAAAAAAACUAUAUAAACACUUUUUUUAUGGUGAAGCAUUCUCAAGUAGACAUUUCUCUCAACUCUAUAACUCUUCUUUUAUGCAACUUAUUAUCACUUCAUUCUGAUAAAGAAUACAACAUGCAACAUGCUCACUUCAUUCUGCAACUCCUAUUUUCCACUUUAUAAGCGUAUCUUCACUCACAGUGAGCUUUCAAUUUCAAAGUAUUCCUUGAAUAACAAAUAAAAGUGCCAUUGGAGUUUCAAUAUCAAGCUUCAAAAUAAAAUGAAGAAAGAUCAUUGGAGUUUCUCAUAACCUUAGAAGAAGCAUAACCAAAAGGGAAGCAAACAUUCAGUUCUUUUUACAGUCUUUUAAGUACUUAAUCACACUUUUAAGUGAUUGUGGAAUAAAGAUUUGCUUGUCUUCAAAACAUAUCGUGUUUCUGGCCUACCAAGUUUGGUAGAUAAUGAUGAUAAUGAGGUUAAGAACCUCCAUAUAAGGUUGUUGAAUGUUUUCUGUUAGUGUGAACAAGAACAACUUCAUUUAGAAUUUUCUAUAAAAAAGUGGAUUGUUUAAGAUGAACUUUUUCUGUCAUAACAUUUUCUAAAUAUGACUAGCGUUGUUAGAAUUUGAAAUUUCAGGGUCCAACAAUGAAUUGGGGUUCAUGCCCAAUAAAUUUCUUUUAAAUUUUGGAUUAUUUUCUAAAUAAGUUUUUAUAAAAACUUAAUUGAUAUUGUUAAUUAUUAAUUAAUUCUAUAAAAAAUUAUUAAUUAAUAAUUUAUCUUGAUCAUAUAAUUGCCAUAUCAUUAAAAAUAUUUUUGUAUCCUAAUCAUCACGGUCACGUCUGCAAAAGUGGAGAAAGAUCAACAAUCUCAAUAAAAAUAAAAUUGAUGGAUCAAAAAAGUGAUUUUUAAAAUAAGGGGAUUAAAAGUUAAAAUUUAUCAAAUUAUGGGGAUCAAAAGUGAAUUUAAGUUAAAAUAAUUUUUCGUUUUGGUUAUUCUGAUAUCCAAGAUGUUUUCAUAUAUGUUAUAUCAAAUCUUGUUAAAGGUGUGGAUGAAUUUCAUUGUCGGAGACACGAUUUCUUAUACGUAGGAACUUUUGAAAAUCAUUAUUAUAAUCGUCUGAUGGUGCAGUUAGUUCAUUGUUGAGAUAACCAUAAAAAUAAUCAAAACUGUCACCACAUGUGACACGUUCAUCUUCAACAAUUAUAUUGUCCAAUAUGAGACAUGUAUCCAUUAUGCUCAUUUGAACCUCAUGAGACAUAGUGAGAUUAGUUGAGUGGGAUGAAAUAUGUUGAUAUUGAUAUUGGUAUGGUGAAAUUGUUAGUGCGUGAGACACUUUUAGUGAAGAUAGAUAGAGAGAUUAAAGAAAUACGGAUUGUAUUAUUGAAUUGAAUGAUAAAACAGAAUUAUAAAGUGUCUAUUUACAUACACCUAAGUGACUUGACUACUAAGUAAAAUAACAAACUAAGUAACAAACCUAAACCAUAAUUACCUUUGGGCUUGGACGACACAACUCAACUUGGAUUAUAUCUAACAUCUCAACAUACCCCCUUAUAAUCCAAGUUGUUGAAACACACUAAUCAUUAUCGAUAUGAACUAUUCAUAAUUUCUUUCUCAACGUUAAGAACCUGUAGAUCUUCAAUCCUUUGGUGAAAAUGUCAGUCAAUUGUGUUUCACUUUAGUAAUGUCUUACUUCAAGUUCACAUCGAUUUAUCUUCUCACUUAAGAAGUGAAAUCUAGUUUCUAUGUGCUUAUUUCUUCCAUAUAUAAUUGAAUUUUUCGCAAGAUUUAUGGUUGACUUGUUAUCAAUCUACGGUACCAAUGAUUUCUUUACGUCGAUCUCUUUCAACACAGAUUUGAUCCAAAAUCAAAUGUUAGUUAUAGUAAAUUGCACAAACUAUUUUAGUUAUGGUAAGUUGCACCAAUAAUUUUCAAAGGUAUGGAUCUUUUAACUCAUUCUAAAUUAUAAGAUAUUUUAAACAAUUUAAUGAAUUAAAAAAAAUUAUAAAUCACUUUAUAAUACUCUCUAUUUAUUAUUCAUGAAACAGAAGUUUAAAGAAUUGGAAGAAAAAAAAUAUAUGAUAUACUAGGGAAGAUAUAAAUAAUGUUGCAUUGUAAGAUUAUUUAUAAUUUGAGAUAUGGAUAUAUUUUAUAAAUCACUUAUAAUUUGAAAAAGAGGAUUAUUAAAGAAAUCGAUCUCAUAUAUUUAUAAAUAAAAAGCAAAGUGAGAAUAAAAGAGUAGUGGAGGUACAUUAUUGUGAUAUGAUUAAAGGCGCCGCAUAAAUAAAAUGGAAGGCAGCUUGUGUUUCACCCUAAUAAAGAGUAUAGAGUCAUGUUCAGCUAGACUAUUUGAUUUAUUAAAAGUUCUUUAAAAAAAUUAUAGCAUCUAAAAAAGUUUUAAAAUAUUAUAUUUUUUGUUUUUUAAAAUGUUUUUUUUUUGUGUGAAUAGAAAAAAAAAUCUGAAAGUUGAGAUUUACGGAUCUUUAAAUAUUAAUUUUAAAAUUUAUUUUUUAUUUUACAAAAAAGAUUUAACGAUGAUGCUCUGUAAUAAUAAAAAUAUAUUAUUUUAUUAUAUAAUAUAAAUAAUUAAAAAAAUUUAAUUAAAAUACAUAAUCGUUGUUGAUUAACUGUAUAAAGUAAAUUUAUAUCGUUGUAUCAUCUAUUUUUCUUAAAGGGUGGUGUAAUUAUUAAUUAAUGAAUAAUAAAAAAUAAAAUAAAAAGAGGUUCUCUUAGAACGAAAAAAACUCGUUUGGUUUGUAGAGUGUGUGUACCCACUACUACACACCUUAUGAAAAGCCUACGUCAUUUCUCAUUUCUCACUCACUCUAACAAACCUACUUUCUCUCUCUUCUCUCUCUCUUCAAUGGGUUGUGCUGGAUCAUCUCAGUCCAAGCCUGAUGGUAAUUUCUUCCUCUCUCUUUCUCUCUCUAUCACCUUCACUUUCUCUAAUUUACAUUGUUAAUUCAUAAAUCUUCACUUUCAGUUUAGUUCAAAAUCUCUUCUUUCUCAAUUUUGUUAUUGAAUUUGUGUAAACCCUAUGUUAACUUGGAAAUUUUAAUACUCAAUUGCAUAGGGCACAGGCUAAACAGAUAUUUACUUCAAGAACUGUUUUCUUUAAUAUUGGAUAAUAUUGAAAUUUUCACCCUCUCUGUAGCCAUUGCCAGUAAUUUUCUGAUAUUAUAUGCUUUUCAGUUGUUUGAUUACUGCUAAUGGGUUUCUUUGGAUAACAACUAGAAUGGUUGUGAAUUCUACAAUGUGCUGAGAUUAUUUAUACAAUGAUUGGAAAGAUUUUAGUUUCUUUACUGAUGAAAUUGAGGAUUUAAAUUGGUUCUUCUUGAUUCCCAAAUGAAAUUUGGAUUUUUGUAAUUUGGAGAGAUAAAUGGUUAUUAAUUAGCUUUAUAUCUCUGUGAUUGAAAAUUUUCUGGAUUGGAUCCUACUUCUGUAUGUCUUGAUUUUGGACCUUUGAUAGUUUUGUUGAGUUGUGAACGUUUAGGAAGCAGCAGAAUGAUGACGACGAUGAUGAUAAAGAUGGUCCUUGUUAUUGUUGUUGUUUUAGUUGUUUGUGGCUAGAUUUUUCAUUCGUUUUGUUUUCUUAAAUUGAAACUAGUUUUUGUGGCUUGCUUGUUCAUGAUGCCAGUGCUUCAGCUCUAGAAUAAAGUUUAGUUCCGGCUCCUAUUAACAUAAACUUGAACCAAUUUUAACAGGGACUGUAAAAAAGAUCCGAAAGCCUAAGCCUUGGAAGCAUCCUCAGCCCAUAACAAGGACUCAGCUAAUACAAUUGCGCGAUGAGUUUUGGGACACAGCUCCUCACUAUGGUGGACGGAAAGGUAUUAUCUCAAUUUGAUAAGUUACCUUAUUUGGAACCUUUGAAGCGCUAUUCCUGAUUAAAUUUGCUUAGAAUAUAAGGUGUUUAAACAGAAAUGCUUUCUUUCUAUGAAUUAGUUCACUUUCUAACAUUUUUACAUCUGUCUAUGCAAAUCAUAAUCAAAAGGUUUUAUCCAUUCUUUCGUUUAUUGAAUGUGAUGCCCCGGAUACAUAAUGAUUAUCUAUAAUUCUGUACUAUGAUUCUUAAUCUAGCAAAAGUCUUAGGUUUCACUUAGUAUCUAGAACUGGACAAUGAAUAAUGAUAAUUAGUCUCUUGGAGAUGACAAAAAGGGAUCCAUGCUCUUUUUGUAUUUAUUAAUUGCAAGAAUGAUCAUUGUGUUCACUAUGACUUGGGUCAAGUUCUUUUCACUACAAAGGUGAAAAUUGGCUUCCAUUGGUAAAUCGGCAAGAACUAAUGAAUGAAUGAUUAUUUCCUUUGGAUUACUGUACCUUGUGAAGCCAGAACUCUCACUUUUGUUGUGAAAAUCAAGAAAACAAAUAAAUAGCCAUUAUAUUUAGUGCUCCAAAAUUAUUUUAUCUAAUAAUGAAAUCUUCCCAUAAAUAAUAAAGUUGCAUGCAGCCAUAGUAUUUUGUUCCCACAAAUUACUCUGUGCUCCUAUCAUUUCGCUCUGUUUCAUUUCUAUCUUAAUUGCUUUAAAUAAGUUGAAAUCUGUAUAUGGUUUUCCACAUACUAGAGAUUUGGGAUGCUCUUCGAGCUGCUGCAGAAGCUGAUCUUUCUUUAGCACAGGCAAUUGUGGAUAGUGCUGGGGUCAUUGUCCAGAGUUCUGAUUUGACAGUAUGCUAUGAUGAAAGAGGUAAGUAUUUAAUUCAUGUUGCAAUCAACUGUCUACUAUGUUCAUAAUUAAAUUAUAAAUAAAAAAGAUAUAAUAGGAUUUGGUUUGGUUUCUAUAAUCUAAAUCUGUCUAAAGAAAAGCUUAAUUUGUUGAUUCCAUUUCCUUUGAUUUUAAUGUUUAAGAAAUUGGAAGUUAAAUGAAAAGGUUAGAGCAACUUUUAUACCAUGCCCAUGAAUCAUGUGGGCUUCCAACAGCACUACUAUACUUUUCCCCUUAAUUAUCUGUGGUCCAGGUAUUCUGGCUUGGUUGUAUCAUGUGACCCCCUCCUUUAUUGUGGAUUAUGUCUGUGGAAUACAUUGCACUUUUUCAAAAUCUCUGUAGCCCGAGAUUUAGAUUCUUGACAACCGGGAUAACCACAUUUAUUUUGACCAGGGAAAAAAAAACACAUUUACGAAAUCACAUGAUCUCAAGUUCUCAACCGUCCAAUUUUAAUCAAAUGACUUGAAUUCCAACUCUUGUGAAAUGAGUUCAAAAUACAAAGUUAGAACAUGGUCUGUCUGAUCUACAAUAAUGUGAUAGUGUACAAUCCAUUUCUCUGCAGCCCCACCAAUACUUUUCUCACCUCAGCUUCCUUCCCUACCGCAUAAACAUGUGCUCUCACUAUCAAAAUGUUUCUUUUUGCUCUUCCAAAUUUAUUACCCGGAAAUAUAUACCAACCAUUUGGGGGGGUCUUUAGAUUCUUUUAUAAACAUCAAACUAGAUUGGCAUGAGAGUGAAACUACUGACGCUCAAUUAUUGGAACUUUAAGAUGCUUGACUUUAGUUCAUGGAGAUCUGUGAUCAUAAAAAUUGUACUAUUGCACCUUAUGUUUGUUAUGGUGGGGCUAGACUAGAAAAACAUGUUAUUUUCUUGCAAUCUUUACCUCCAGCAUCAAUGGUUUCUUGUUCUGAUUCUUGGUGCAAUAUUUGCAGGUGCGAAGUACGAGCUACCCAAGUAUGUUUUGAGUGAGCCAACUAACUUGAUUCGAGAAAGUUAAUAACAAGGAGUAAAUAUAGUAACAUUCAUGGGAAGAAGCAUAUUGUAAAUCCUGUAUAUUUUUAUCUCAUUGAUUUGGUUGGUAACUUUUAUAGGGUAGAAACUUUUUUUCAUAUCCAACUGUACUACUCACCUCACCCUUGACUUUAUGUUUCCUCAAUCAAUGGAACAAAAAUUAUGUCUGUUCUGUAUCAACAAAUGAUGAUAAGUAUCAUCACUCUUUGGCAAA
rnacentral:lncRNA from 1 species